UCCCUGGUGGUCCAGUGGCUAAGAUUCUGAGUUCCCAAUGCAGGGGGCCUGGGUUCGAUUUCCUGGUCAGGGAA
rnacentral:tRNA from 1 species